rnacentral:rRNA from 1 species
AGCAGUAGCCGCGGGAAUACGAAGGGGGCUAGCGUUGUUCGGAUUUACUGGGCGUAAAGCGCACGUAGGCGGACUUUUAAGUCAGGGGUGAAAUCCCGGGGCUCAACCCCGGAACUGCCUUUGAUACUGGGAGUCUUGAGUUCGAGAGAGGUGAGUGGAAUUGCGAGUGUAGAGGUGAAAUUCGUAGAUAUUCGCAGGAACACCAGUGGCGAAGGCGGCUCACUGGCUCGAUACUGACGCUGAGGUGCGAAAGCGUGGGGAGCAAACAGGAUUAGAUACCCCUGUAGUCCCUGUCUCUUAUAC